rnacentral:rRNA from 1 species
AUGCGGCGUAGCCCCCGCAAGCAUCCUGCGCAAACAUCAAACGCACCAGGUGCAGUCUCGAGGAGGAGAGACAAGUCCAUGUUUGUGUCUGCUUCGACGUUGUUCCCACCUCCUGCAAAAAGCAUUGUCAUGGAGAAAACGGAAGUCCGGGAUACUGCCGACGCAGGAGGUGAACCUUUGGAACGGUCUGCGCCCACCAUAGUCAUGGAGAACGCCAACUUAAAUCUGCGCACUUCGAAGCUCCCAGUCAACACUGGCGUCCCAUAUAGCCCAAACAGGAGGAUAGUGAAGGAAGUUGCAACGGAGGUCACUGACACCGCGCCCGUGCCCACUAACAAGCCUGAUGAACCCAUAGCAGACGAUGCAGGAAUGUUUGUUGAUCUGUCACCUCUUGAUUCUGCGCAGCAACUUGCUCAAGAUCCGGAUGGUUUGCGGGAGAGGCACCCAAUAGAUUUCACCCCACCGAGCUGCAUCCUUGGCAUCGAUCGCAGUGCAGAUGCAACAGCAGUGCAAGAUCCUAUGCCUGUUGCGUUUGCUUUUCCGGCGGACAUGGUCCCAAUGAUGGCACAACCAAUUCUUGACGGCAGGAAGGCUGUGAAGUUUGCUGAGCCGAUAGUGCAAGCCACCCCUCUUGAGAUUUCACCGUCACUCAAAGACGCGUACCGUAGGAUUGAAGAUGAAGCAUUGUACAGGAGGUCCUCACGGGUUAAGGGGCAAUCAAGUUCUAAUGUGACAACUGAGUCCGUAUUUGAGGAUACCAUUAAAAGUGCCAUGCCUGGAUCUGUGAGGCAGAUUAGGGUGGUCCAUGCACCACGCGGGGAUGACUACGAGCCCGUAGUUAAGGCGACAAAGGAGCAGAACCAGCUAUACGACAUUCUCAAGCGUUUUGGAAAUGCCAGAUCGAACAACAAGCAUAUGAAGGAGUUGAGAGCCUCAUGUUUGGAUAGAACGAAAAUCGUAUAA